rnacentral:rRNA from 1 species
AUCGUCACGGGUUGUUGCUGGUCCUCAACGGGGACAUGUGCACGCUCUGUUUACACAUCCACUCACACCUGUGCACCCUCCGUAGUUCUGUGGUCUGGGGGACCCUGUCUUCCUGCCGUGGUUCUACGUCUUUACACACACACUGUAAUAAAGUCUUAUGGAAUGUAUGCCGCGUCUAACGCAAUACAAUACAACUUUCAGCAACGGAUCUCUUGGCUCUCGCAUCGAUGAAGAACGCAGCGAAAUGCGAUAAGUAAUGUGAAUUGCAGAAUUCAGUGAAUCAUCGAAUCUUUGAACGCACCUUGCGCCCCUUGGCUAUUCCGAGGGGCAUGCCUGUUUGAGUAUCAUGAACACCUCAACUCUCAUGGUUUGCCGUGAUGAGCUUGGACUCUGGGGGUUUUGCUGGCCUGCGGUCGGCUCCCCUCAAAUGAAUCAGCCUCCCAGUGUUUGGUGGCAUCACGGGUGUGAUAAAUAUCUACGCUCGCAGUUGUCCGCCNGGUAACCUUUGGUAACAAAGGUUCGCUGGAGCUCACAGAUGUCUCUCCUCAGCGAGGACAGCUUUUUGAACGUUCGAUCUCAAAUCAGGUAGGACUACCCGCUGAACUUAAGCAUAUCAAUAAGCGGAGGAAAAGAAACUAACAAGGAUUCCCCUAGUAACUGCGAGUGAAGCGGGAAGAGCUCAAAUUUAAAAUCUGGCGUGCCUCUGGUCGUCCGAGUUGUAGUCUAGAGAAGCGUUUUCCGUGCUGGACCGUGUACAAGUCUCCGA